UACGGAGGGUGCAAGCGUUAUCCGGAUUCACUGGGUUUAAAGGGUGCGUAGGUGGGCAGUUAAGUCAGUGGUGAAAUCUCCGGGCUCAACCCGGAAACUGCCAUUGAUACUAUCUGUCUUGAAUAUCGUGGAGGUAAGCGGAAUAUGUCAUGUAGCGGCGAAAUGCUUAGAUAUGACAUAGAACACCAAUUGCGAAGGCAGCUUACUACCCGAAUAUUGACACUGAGGCACGAAAGCGUGGGGAUCAAACAGG
rnacentral:rRNA from 1 species